rnacentral:rRNA from 1 species
AACGAACGCUGGCGGCAGGCUUAACACUUGCAAGUCAAACGGUUGUAGCAAUACAGCAGUGGCAAACGGGUGAGUAACACGUGGGAACCUUCCUAGGGGUACGGAACAACUCAGGGAAACUUGAGCUAAUACCGUAUACGUCCGUGAGGAGAAAGUUUUAACGCCCCUAGACGGGCCCGCGUAGGAUUAGGUAGUUGGUGAGGUAACGGCUCACCAAGCCUACAAUCCUUAGCUGAUCUGAGAGGAUGAUCAGCCACACUGGGACUGAAACACGGCCCAAACUCCUACGGGAGGCAGCAGUGGGAAAUCUUGGACAAUGGGCGCAAGCCUGAUCCACCCAUGCCGCGUGAGUGAAAAAGGCCUUCGGGUUGUAAAGCUCUUUUACCAGGGACAAUAAUGACGGUACCUGAAGAAUAAGCCCCGGCAAACUUCGUG